GGGCACAAAAGAUGAGAGCGUUGCCACAUGUCAGCUGUCAUGAUGCCUUCUUGAGUGACAAACAAAGAAGGUGCAAUGUCUGCUGGCAUGUUGCAUUGUAAAAUUACUUUGUGACAAC
rnacentral:precursor_RNA from 9 species